rnacentral:rRNA from 1 species
CCUUUCCGGGCAGCCUAUAAUGCAGUCGACGGUGUCUUCGGACAUAGUGGCGCACGGGUGCGUAACACGUAUGCAACCUACCUUACAUUGGGGGAUAGCCUUUCGAAAGGGAGAUUAAUACCGCAUAAGACAGUAGUCUGGCAUCAGACAGCUGUUAAAGAUUUAUCGAUGUAAGCUGGGCAUGCGUCCAAUUAGUUAGUUGGCGAGGUAACGGCUCACCAAGACUAUGAUUGGUAGGGGAACUGAGAGGUCAAUCCCCCACACUGGCACUGAGAUACGGGCCAGACUCCUACGGGAGGCAGCAGUAGGGAAUAUUGGGCAAUGGACGCAAGUCUGACCCAGCCAUGCCGCGUGCAGGAAGAAGGCGUUAUGCGUUGUAAACUGCUUUUAUACAGGAAGAAACGACUCUUGCGAGAGGCAUUGACGGUACUGUAUGAAUAAGCACCGGCUAACUCCGUGCCAGCAGCCGCGGUAAUACGGAGGGUGCAAGCGUUGUCCGGAUUUAUUGGGUUUAAAGGGUGCGCAGGUGGUUUAUUAAGUCAGUGGUGAAAGACGGUCGCUCAACGAUUGCAGUGCCAUUGAAACUGGUAGACUUGAGUAAAGUAGAGGUGGGCGGAAUUGAUAGUGUAGCGGUGAAAUGCAUAGAUAUUAUCAAGAACUCCAAUUGCGUAGGCAGCUCACUUGGCUUUUACUGACACUCAUGCACGAAAGUGUGGGUAUCAAACAGGAUUAGAUACCCUGGUAGUCCACACUGUAAACGAUGAUAACUAGGUGUCGGCCGAAUCUGGUCGGUGCCACAGCGAAAGCGUUAAGUUAUCCACCUGGGGAGUACGCCGGCAACGGUGAAACUCAAAGGAAUUGACGG